CACUGAUGACACUGCUAAUACCAGCCAUGGAGGUGCUCCAUGAUUAAACCAACCUGAGCACUGCCAUUGGUGGACCUCCAAAUCCUAACCUAAAAUGUCCCUUCUCUUUUAACAUAUGAAAGCACAGGAAAUUCUCUGUCAGAACUGCAAGAUUGCUGUUUGAUUGUCUUUCCCAAAACACCUGGUCUGACAGGGCUCAAACAAGAAAAUGAAGAAAGAAUGAACUAGCUUGCAUGUAGCUAAACCAUCCCUUUGAGCACUGACAAGAAACCAGACAGCACUCAUAUGUCCAGCCAAAUGACUCAUUUUCUGGAUAAGCAAAAUCGGGUCUCUUCCUGCCACUUCCUCACCGCACCCUAAGUCUGUAUCCUACUGCAAGUGCAGAGGUAACACUGUCGUUGCUGCAGGCACUCGGCUGCUAUAAAGUGGAGAUAUGUGCUCAGUUUCCACAGGCAAAGAAACACUGCUUUGUAAGUACAGCACUUUUCUGUUUUUCUGAGAGGAAGUGAGGAGAGGUUUAUUAGGAGCUGUUACUGCAUCUUUAUUGGAGCAUGUCAGACCUGAACGAGAUCGUAUGCUUCCCGUGAGAAACCAGCGGCUGGGCAGGCAGCCACUCAGCUGCACCUCCAGCAUACCAGCCCGACCCUCGUGCCUGCAUGAAUGUUGCCAUUGUGCAGAUGGCAGCAGGACACGUAGCUUGAAGGACCCCAGCACAAGUCAGGCCAUCCAGCUGCGGUACAGCACGGCUUUCCCGGGGGGAAGUGCGCAUGAGCAGCCAGGGCAGAUUUAAGGACAGCCUUCAGAACAGAUGCAGGACGCUGCAGUGCUGUAGCAGUGAUCAUGCUGAAAAGUUUGGAAUGGUUUUAAGUCGGCUGAAAGAUCACACUCCAGUGCCUCAGCUGCCUGCCUUGAGCCUAACCUGAUACUGCCAGGUACCGUAUUCAUACUCCCUUGCUGUUUCUGGAAAUGCACAGGGACAUUUUAAUGGGCAUUUGGAAAAGUUUCUUGCUGCUGUAGAUAAAAAUAUCUCAAGGAAGUGUUCAAAAGGCAUUUCCCUUAACAGAAGCAUUGUUCUCAUUCAUUCUGUAUACAAAGUGAGAGCAGUUAGCUGCAGAAUACUUAUCUUGAAUGUGCCUGUUUUGUUGCUUGUUUUGUGGUUGUUUUUUUUUUUUUUUUUUUUUACCUAAAUGAAGUCUAUAAAUUAGGAAAUUUUAGAAGAUAUUUUCACAGACUGAGAAGGACCAAACUGAAUGGAAUCUCACCUGUGAGAGCUUUCAGAUCUGAAAGCUCCAAAUGCAGAAAUGAUUUGGCAACAAAUAUCACAUUGGUAAGAAAAGAGUUCAUGAAUUAUUUUAAUAUUAUUAUUAAAUCUGAAGCCAUCUAACUUUAAUAAUGACAGAACACCAUAUUAUAAAAGAAUGGGCUUUCUGUAAAGCAUACUCACAAUGUGUUUUUUUGUUUGUUUGUUUCAGUGGUUGGUUCUUGCUUCUACCACUGUAAUAUUAGAGGGAUGAAUGGUCAGAUCACUGGUUUCCUUCCUUCUUCUGUGUUUCAGGACAUGCCUGGUCAAAGCCCUGAUUUUUGGUCUGCUUCUGCAGCCACUAAUGACACAGCCUUCCAUUAUCACGCAGCCAAACUUUGUCCUGUUGUUGGCUGAUGAUCUUGGUAUAGGAGAUGUAGGUUGCUAUGGGAAUGAUACUAUCAGGUAAGGAAACAGCAUAUUAAUGAACAGAGCUGAUAUUUGAUGCAAGCCUUCAGUCCUCUGCUCAUCACCAGCCAUUAGAGCAGUCUUCAAAUUCAUUUACUGGAGAACUGGGGAGAUUUCCUAUGGGAGUCACUAUGUAAAUGUAAAUCACACUACCUGGAGUAUCUUAUGCCCUAGAGGGCAUUCCCAGGGCCAGCUCUGCUAUGCAGAGCUGUUCUUAUCUGGGAAUAUGUAAACUGAGAAAUGCUAAGCACAUGCAUGUACCUGGAGAUAGAAACGCUGUCUCCUCUUUCAAGUGCUUUGCCAUUCUUUCUAAGACUUAACAUCAAGCAAUUCACUGAUGUGAAUUAUGUCACUAGGAAAUACUUCUGUUUACAUAUUUGAGGACAUAGAAUUUGCCUUUUCUUUGGAAAUUAUGCCACAUUAAUGCCUUUUCGCCUCCUACCAGCUUGUCACUGAACUUUGUGUGAUCACCCCCAUUAGCCAGCAAAAUUCUCAGACUCUCACCCUGAUUGACACCAACUAGCAAGCUUCUGGCAGGCAUCUCUGCAUGGCUCAGCCUCCAGCAUAAGAUCAUCCUCAAGGCAUGAGUUCUUUUCUUCAGUAGCAGUGGGGUGCCUCUCACGAACAGCCUCCAUAACACCUAGGAAAUAAGAAGGAAUAAUUGCCUUGAAAUUUAUCCAGAUAGCUUUUUAUUUUUAAUGAAGGGAAAAGAAAAAAGAAAGAAAUAUCUAAUCUUGAAUAAAAUAAAAUAAAGAUAAAAUAAUUCAAGUAGAAAAAAUUUCCCAAAACUGAGGUAAGUGUAUUAUUCCUCAUUCCCAUUCCCUUGAAGGCCCUGUGAUUGAUAUCUGACAGUGCUGGUUGUGCUUUUAG
ensembl:lncRNA